AUACGUAGGGGGCGAGCGUUGUCCGGAAUGAUUGGGCGUAAAGGGCGCGUAGGCGGCCCGGUAAGUCUGGAGUGAAAGUCCUGUUUUUAAGAUGGGAAUUGCUUUGGAUACUGUCGGGCUUGAGUGCAGGAGAGGUAAGUGGAAUUCCCAGUGUAGCGGUGAAAUGCGUAGAGAUUGGGAGGAACACCAGUGGCGAAGGCGACUUACUGGACUGUAACUGACGCUGAGGCGCGAAAGUGUGAGGAGCAAACAGGAUUAGAUACCCUGGUAGUCCACACUGUAAACGAUGAAUGCUAGGUGUAGGGGGUAUCGACCCCUUCUGUGCCGCAGUCAACACAAUAAGCAUUCCGCCUGGGGAGUACGGCCGCAAGGUUGAAACUCAAAUGAAUUGACGGGG
rnacentral:rRNA from 1 species